AUUGAACGCUGGCGGCAUGCCUUACACAUGCAAGUCGAACGGCAGCACGGGAGCAAUCCUGGUGGCGAGUGGCGAACGGGUGAGUAAUAUAUCGGAACGUGCCCGGUCGUGGGGAUAACGUAGCGAAAGCUACGCUAAUACCGCAUACGAUCUACGGAUGAAAGCGGGGGAUCGCAAGACCUCGCGCGAUUGGAGCGGCCGAUAUCAGAUUAGGUAGUUGGUGAGGUAAAGGCUCACCAAGCCGACGAUCUGUAGCUGGUCUGAGAGGACGACCAGCCACACUGGGACUGAGACACGGCCCAGACUCCUACGGGAGGCAGCAGUGAGGAAUAUUGGACAAUGGGCGGCAAGCCUGAUCCAGCCAUGCCGCGUGCAGGAAGAAGGUCCUAUGGAUUGUAAACUGCUUUAUACAGGAAGAACAACUCCCUCGUGAGGGAACGUUGACGGUACUGUAUGAAUAAGGACCGGCUAAC
rnacentral:rRNA from 1 species